UUUGCAUUUCUCCUUGACUUGGGCAGCCCUGGCUUGAGUAGAUCCCAGAUACUUACCUCUGUGAUUCUAUAAAAUAACCUAAGCCAAUUUAUCAGGUAAGUUCUGGACAGGAUAUAGAUGCAUCAAGCACCAUAUAAAAGCAAGUCCUAGAAACUAUCUUUUAAUCACAGGUGCAGCAUUGCCGUCUACCUUUUGUAAAAGAACUGGGCUAUUAAAAUAACUGCUAAAAAAAAUAAUAAAAUAAAAUGGGAGAGUCAUUGACUUCCUUAGCCCAGAAGGUUUGUAUAUGUCUCUGUCAGGCUCCUGGGAGCUCUUUCCCCAGCAGACUUGUAGGCUGGACCAGAUAGCAAAUACACCCUUUCAACUGAAGCUGGAUCACCGUGCAGAAAUAGAGGAAGGAAGGAACAAUGAUUUCAGUUAUUUUAUAAUUAUUGGUCUGAGGAUCACUAUUGAUGCUCCUGCCAGAAAAGGUAGAAAAGUGCUAAUUAAAAUUACUGAUGACAGAAUGUUGGGAGGCUUUCAAUAAGGAGGAUGUUCACAGUAACACGCAGGCAAAAAUAGAAUACUCCUGAGGACUGGGAUAGAGAAAAAUGGGAGGAAAUACAUGAGUAAAAACAGGAGUGUGUUUUCUAUGUGAUAUGAAGGGAAGGGAGGGGAGGUGUAAUACUGGAAAGAGAAAAUGGAGCUUUAUGCAUUUUCAUGAUAUGGUGAUAGGGAAUUAUACUAAAUGGCUUGUCCAAGCAUUGGAUCCCACACGUUCAUUGUUUCUCCUUUGUCUCAGCCUUUGUCCAGAGAUGUCAAAGUGCUCCAACCUCUGAACAAACUCAGGAAGAUGUGAAGAAGACGUGGAAAACUGAGACAGUAUUUGAGUUCCCCAAUUCACUCACUUACUGAGUGAACAGGCCUGAAAGCAUUUAGGGCUUACCUAUGUCCUUAGAUUCUCUGGGAAGCAUCAGUGUAUCAGUUCUUCCAAUUGUACAGACAAACAAACUACUAAGAGAUAUGUGGCUGAUUUACAGAGGAGACAGAGUAAAGCCAGCGUGUUUUUAGAACAGAAAGCCUAAUUCUUCUGUUUCUGCUGAAUCUUUCAGUAGUUAUACUUUUUCACAUGGAAAAGAAGUAUGCUCUCUCAAG
rnacentral:lncRNA from 1 species